rnacentral:rRNA from 1 species
AGUGAACGCUGGCGGUAUGCCUAAUACAUGCAAGUCGAACGGCAGCACAGUAAGCUCUUGCCCUUACGGUUGGCGGCUGGCGGGCGGGUGAGAAGUACAUCACCAUCUACUUUUUCGUGGGGGAUAUCGGGAGGACGCUGACACUAAUAGCGCAUAUGAUCUACCGGUUGAUUCAAUAGUGCUUCGCGGCUUUCGCGAUUCUAUUAGCCGGUGUCGGAUUAGCUAGUUGGGGGGGUAAGGGCCCACCAAGGCGACGAUCCGUAGCUGGUCUGAGAGGAUGAUCAGCCACACUGGAACUGAGACACGGUCCAGACUCCUACGGGAGGCAGCAGUAGGGAAUAUUGGACAAUGGGCGAAAGCCUGAUCGAGCAAUACCGCGUGGGUGAAGAAGGUCUUCGGGUUGUAAAGCCCUGUUGUUAGGAAAGAACAGAAGCAGGUUAAUCCCCGGAUGUUCUGACGGUACCUAAAGAGUAAGCACCGGCUAACUUCGUG